GUGAGCAACCUGCCCUGGACUCUGGGAUAAGCGCUGGAAACGGCGUCUAAUACUGGAUAUGAGACGUGAUCGCAUGGUCGUGUUUGGAAAGAUUUUUCGGUCUGGGAUGGGCUCGCGGCCUAUCAGCUUGUUGGUGAGGUAAUGGCUCACCAAGGCGUCGACGGGUAGCCGGCCUGAGAGGGUGACCGGCCACACUGGGACUGAGACACGGCCCAGACUCCUACGGGAGGCAGCAGUGGGGAAUAUUGCACAAUGGGCGGAAGCCUGAUGCAGCAACGCCGCGUGAGGGAUGACGGCCUUCGGGUUGUAAACCUCUUUUAGCAGGGAAGAAGCGAAAGUGACGGUACCUGCAGAAAAAGCGCCGGCUAACUACGUGCCAGCAGCCGCGGUAAUACGUAGGGCGCAAGCGUUAUCCGGAAUUAUUGGGCGUAAAGAGCUCGUAGGCGGUUUGUCGCGUCUGCUGUGAAAUCCCGAGGCUCAACCUCGGGCCUGCAGUGGGUACGGGCAGACUAGAGUGCGGUAGGGGAGAUUGGAAUUCCUGGUGUAGCGGUGGAAUGCGCAGAUAUCAGGAGGAACACCGAUGGCGAAGGCAGAUCUCUGGGCCGUAACUGACGCUGAGGAGCGAAAGGGUGGGGAGCAA
rnacentral:rRNA from 1 species